GAUGAACGCUGGCGGCGUGCCUAAUACAUGCGAGUCGAGCGAACGGACGAGAAGCUUGCUUCUCUGAUGUUAGCGGCGGACGGGUGAGUAACACGUGGAUAACCUACCUAUAAGACUGGGAUAACUUCGGGAAACCGGAGCUAAUACCGGAUAAUAUUUUGAACCGCAUGGUUCAAAAGUGAAAGACGGUCUUGCUGUCACUUAUAGAUGGAUCCGCGCUGCAUUAGCUAGUUGGUAAGGUAACGGCUUACCAAGGCAACGAUGCAUAGCCGACCUGAGAGGGUGAUCGGCCACCCUGGAACUGAGACACGGUCCAGACUCCUACGGGAGGCAGCAGUAGGGAAUCUUCCGCAAUGGGCGAAAGCCUGACGGAGCAACGCCGCGUGAGUGAUGAAGGUCUUCGGAUCGUAAAACUCUGUUAUUAGGGAAGAACAUAUGUGUAAGUAACUGUGCACAUCUUGACGGUACCUAAUCAGAAAGCCACGGCUAACUACGUG
rnacentral:rRNA from 1 species